rnacentral:miRNA from 1 species
GUGCUGUGUAUGGUUUUUUUGGUCUUUGGAGGGCGGAGGCCGCCCUCAGGGACCAAAAAAACCAUACACAGCACCACCUUU